GCGAGUUCCAGCAACUCCCAACCCGUGCGAACAUACCGCGUCUCCGCCCAGGAGGGCGCCCUCCGUGCCGCCCGGCGGGCGCGCCUCUCCCCCCCCGCGGGGAGGGCGCGCGCCCGCCGGCGGCCUGCGGGGCGCCCCUCGGGGCUCUCGAACCUUCUGAAGUACCAGUAUGGCGUCUGAGCAAACCACUAAAUCGUUAAAACUUUCAACAACGGAUCUCUUGGCUCUGGCAUCGAUGAAGAACGCAGCGAACUGCGAUACGUAAUGCGAAUUGCAGAAUUCAGCGAGUCAUCGAAUCUUUGAACGCACAUUGCGCCCGCCAGCACUCUGGCGGGCAUGCCUGUCCGAGCGUCAUUUCUCCCCUCGCGCGCCCCGGCGCGCGGCGUUGGGGGCCUGCCGGCGCCCCCGCAGCUCGCUGCGGGGGAGGACGCAGCCCCUGAAACCCAGUGGCGGGCCGGCCGCGGCUCCGAGCGCAGUAGUAACCUCUCGCUCCGGACGCCUCCCCCGGGCCCCGCCAGGAAACCCCCAAUCUUUACAAGG
rnacentral:rRNA from 3 species